rnacentral:lncRNA from 1 species
AAAGAUUGAUUGAAGAUUUUUUUUUUAAGUAGACCACUGAUUUGGGGUCACCCUUCUGACCUUGCUAAAAAUGGACAGAGCCAGCUUGGCCUAGAAAUGAACUAGAAACCAAAUGGAGAUAACUGCAAGAUCAACAACCUAAGGAACACAGGGGCUAUUCUUCUCCCCAUUUCCUAAAGACUAAUAGACAAGAAGGUAAAUUUAGAGUCAAAGACCCCUCACUAUUCUCUUUCCUUUCCUCCCCUAAAAUACCAUUUCCAGGAGCUGAAUUUAAAUUGUUGACAUGUGGAGGGAAAAAAAAAGAAAAGUUGCCAAAGCCUGUACUUGAGAGAGUCUCCAACAAUGGCCCUAUCUCUCAGUGCGAGUGUCUCUCCUGUCACCUACUUCAAGAAGAAGCCCUUCCCCAGAGGCCUGAUCCCACCUGAUCCCAGGUCAGUGUAAGCUACUAGAAGUCAGACACUGUUUGCUUUUUGACUGUAUCCCCAAGACAAGCACAAUCAGAG